CAGCAUCAAGUUCAUGGUCCUUAAAUGAAUGGCUUUGCUUUGUAUCAGCGGCACUGGGCAUGGCCUGCACUGAAAUACAUUUCGAGGGAGGUUAGUUUGCUUAGACUUUUUCUUUUUCGUCUUCUUCCAGUCUGACAGUAUGCUAAUGGAAUCAAAGUGCUAACCUGGCUUCUUAAAAACACAACCGAAAGCACAUGAAUACAAGUAAAAUUUUGUAAAGAAAAAAGCGACAGCCAGCCCAGCAUCAAUUCAUCAAAUAUAAGCCAAGAAUAUUAACAUUCAGAUAUUCCACACCUCACGUAUGCUUUGUUCCAAAUAGACGGCGAGGGCGAGUGGUUUAUAUUCUGUAAGGCUUAGACCUGCAACUGGAUGCAGUGUACUUUUCUUUCUUUUUUUAACUUUUUUUUUUCCUUAAACGGAUGGGUGGGCGUAUGUAUUUGCUUCGCCAUUCUGGCCUCCGGUACUGAUCGGGCAACAAUAAUAAUACUAAUAAUCUUGAUGGUCAUAAUAGAGAAUAUAUACCGGCCCCCUAAAAUAAAUAAAACAAAAAAAAAAAUCUAUUUAUCAGAGCUAGAUUCAAUAGCUAAUUAAACCUCUUUUAACAUAUAAUAUAAUUAUAACCACAUCGAGCUUACCGAUAUUAGCAAAUGGGCACCUACAACAUAUAGCAAAUUCGCAUGACUUUAGGACUAACAUAUAUAGUUGAGGGUAAUACAAGAUUAUAGAUUUUCAUAAGACAUGACGAAAAUACUGAACUAACAACAAAACUAGCAUUUAUUUAUGCAUCAGUCUCAAAGCAGCUGUAGCCAAUUUCUCCCUUUAAAUACAUUAAAGUAAUCAAAAGUUCAAAACUAAUACUAAAAUUUAGAGGAGGGGGGAAGGCACUCUACUGAAAAUGAGUUUGUGCUCUUGUCGAGUGCAUUGGAACUUUUUACUAAUCUAGUCAGUUUCUUGCAGUUCAAAGAGUGGUUAUAUGAUAUAUAAUUGAAGAAAGAAUACAUGAAACCAGUAACUCUGGAAGAAUUAUGUCAUAUGACCAGUUGAGUGUCUGUAUCUCCCUUGCACAACUAGACACCUUAAAUUAAAGGACAGUGCACCAAUGGACUGUUUGGGAAAUUAAAAAAACAAUUAAAAAAUAAAAAUAAAUAAAAGGAAAAGGACUUACAAAAGGGGAGACGCAAAGUAUAGCAAACAUGCACAACGAAGGAAAUAUGUGAUUCUCAUUUUUUUUAUCCUGAUUAAAAAUAAGUAUGUAUGUGUUCAAUAUAUGGGUCCUACUUUAUUAAGUUUACAUCUUUUUAUUUAUUGUGAGGGAGGACAGCUAUUACGUCAUUUGAGACCAUUUGGGUGGUUCUUAGAGGUCUUUCAAUAAAGUUGCUCGGUAUCACACUUGCCCAAAAGGACUUUUUGAAAUACUAGACUAGGACACUAGGUCUAAUAAAUUAAGUUGGGGAAAAUUAGUAUAGGGGGAGUCCACGAGCUCUAAAUCAGAAGCUCCAAGUCAUAAAUUUAUAGUCAAUGAGAACUACUACACUUUCGUAAUGAUGUUUUGUAAUGGGGAAACAAGUAUACAUUGCACAUCGCAAUUCACAAGCGAAGCGAGAGAAUGGCCUACCACAGCACCAAAUUUCGGCUUGAUGAGUCAAAUCAAAUGUCCUAAUGUAAGGAAUUGAUGGUUCUAGCUUAAGAUUAUCUAGCACUAGUGGAAACCAUCUCAUUUCAUGUUAUUGGGGUAUUUAUCGAAGGCCUAGUCACCAUUAAUUUUAGGGCGAUAGCGAAUCAAAAGAAAAAAAAAAUUGUAAUCAUAUAUAUUAUUACUAAAAUUUAAACUAUAUUGAAUAAAGUGAUGCCUGAUGCGUACCAAUUUUUUUCAAAGACUCAUCUAUUGCGCAUCCCAGGAGGCACAAUAUCUCCUAGUAAUCCUUCAUCCGUGGGGGGUGGUAAGGCUGGUGGUUCGGGCAACGCAUUUGGUUCAUGUUCUCUUGCUUCAACUGGGAUUAAUUCUUCUUCAUGUGACUGCUGCUUGAUACCGGGAGUUUCUUGGGU
rnacentral:lncRNA from 1 species